rnacentral:tRNA from 3 species
CACUUCGGGGUUAAAAAAUAAUUAUUUAUGCAAUAUAUGAGAUACGGUGCAUUCGGAGUUU